rnacentral:rRNA from 1 species
GACGAACGCUGGCGGCGUGCUUAACACAUGCAAGUCGUACGGGCUUGGGGGGCAACUCUCAAGUCAGUGGCGAACGGGUGCGUAACACGUGAGCAACUUGCCCUAUGGUGGGGGAUAGCCGGCCCAACGGCCGGGUAAUACCGCAUAUGGCGCCGGGGUCACAUGGCCCUGGUGGGAAAGCGGCCGCAAGGUCGCGCCAAAGGUGGGGCUCGCGACGUAUCAGCUAGUUGGCGGGGUAACGGCCCACCAAGGCUACGACGCGUAGCUGGUCUGAGAGGAUGGCCAGCCACAUUGGGACUGAGAUACGGCCCAGACUCCUACGGGAGGCAGCAGUGGGGAAUAUUGCGCAAUGGCCGCAAGGCUGACGCAGCGACGCCGCGUGUGGGAUGACGG